UCCAAUUUUGACUAAAUCUGUUCUUUUGAGUUGUCUAUGACAUUAAAUUUAGGCAAUAAAAUUGCUUUGAAGACUGAAUCACUAGUAGUUAAGAGUUUAAACAGAUCAAUUUAGAUUAUUUUUAGUUAUCGCUAUUGAUUUUUUUUUCAAGAGAAUUUAAGGAUACUUUUCUUCUUUUUUAAUCAAAUUGAGAUGUUGUUUUAAGAUAAUUCUUUAGUACUUGUCUAUGAUUGGUGAUAAUUCUUUAGUACUUGUAUAUAUGUUUCUAGAAAAAAUUGUUUUACUUCAGGCAUUAAAGUAUUGUGUACUAUUUUUUUCUAUUUAUUCCCUGUUAAUUCUUUUCUUCAUGCAAUCUAAAACUCAUAUACUUGGACAAUAAUGUCAAGUCACAGCUAUCAAUACUACUGUUUUACAUCACUGUUGGUGGCAUCUAAUUUCUUCAUAAUUCCUCACGUUUUCAUCAUCUUUUGAUACAUUCCCUGAUACUAAAACUUUUGAAAAUUGAUGCUACUAAUUGAGUGGUUCAGAUUUUAUAUUGGGGCAUUCUUUGGAACUUGGAGAUUAGCAAUCAGAGUUUCAAUAUUGUUGAUGUUAUGCCUGCAAGCGUGGAGGAUCUAACUGAAGUGAUAACAUCUGCAGAAUUCCACUCUACUCAUUGUAAUUUGUUAGCAUAUAGCAGUUCAAAAGGCUCAAGAUGCUUAUUGAUUUGUGACAGUCAGCUUUAUGUGUUUCUCAUGCUAAAUUGUAAGUGUUUCCAUUGGUUUAGUUCUUUUAAUGUCUUCUGUGGUAGAACGAAUGAAAAAGGUGGAUAUAUCAUUGGCUUGGACACAUUUACUCUUAGAAGAUAGGAAAAAGCAUCUGUUCAGUUAUGUUAUUGGAUAUGAUAGAAUUUGCUUCUAGUUUCCUUUAAUAUCCUUUGUACAUAGGUUCGAGAAACAAGAGGCACCUGGUUCUAGAUCAUUUUUCACAGAGAUAAUUACUUCAAUCUUAGAUAUUAAAUUUGCAAAGGAUGGAAUUUGAGGAAUGGAAUAGAAGGUUUAUUGAUUGGUUUAAAAA